UACAGAUUUGCCUCUACUCACGAUGGGGUUACGUCCUAAUAAAGCCAGCAGGAGCUGAGGUUAUCACCGAAUCAAAAAUGCAUUUACCCAGACCAUCAGAGCUCGGCCAGGCCUCCCUCACCUGGGCUCCGAAUACCGACAUGAGCCUGCAGGUAUGUGGUACAUGGUAGCCGCUCAGUGCAUGUUUGCUGAAUAAACGGAUGGAACACUGAACUUUGUCCCUCUUUGUACUUGGGGAGCAAAGCCAUUUGGAAAGGCAAAGAAGAUUCCAGUGUGGAUGCCUAGAAGAAACUAGGAUACAGUUCCCAGAAACUUAGAAGGGAGAAGUUUGAGAGCACUGUUUGAGCCAAGCGUCACCCUUGGCAUUGGUUAAAAUGAAAAUACUUCUGGAAGGGCUCAUGCAUUUGGUCUUCUCAGUCACUGCAUCUGAGCAUCACUGAGUGAUACGCUAGGGCAGAGCAAGACUGCUUGUCCCCAGACUCCUUCCUCUUGCGUCUGGCACUACCAGAUGUUUCCCAGCCUCCUUUGUAGUCAGGAUGCAUUCGUGAAGAAUGGGGCCAGGGAGCUGGGGAGCAAUCCAAGCCACCCUCUCCAUUUUGAGGCACUGGUGACUGAUGACAGUAAAACGUGCCUGGAUUUCAACCUGAAAGUUCUAGAUGAUCCCUGUAGGUAAACAACAGGCCUGUACAUCCUACAAGGUGAUUGUGUGUAUUUGGAAAGUGAAGGUUUUCAUGUUACAUCCGAAAGAGGGGAAGCUAUUUGGGUAUGAAACUAUCACCUUGGGAUUCCUGGGUGGCUCAGUGGUUUAGCACCUGCCUUCAGCCCAGGGCGUGAUCCUGGAGACCUGGAAUCGAGUCCCGCAUCAGG